rfam:Eubacterium sp. CAG:251 genomic scaffold, scf29
GUCGGUAUUGAUUGCAACGAGGGUCCACCCGUUCCCAUCCCGAACACGGUAGUUAAGCUCGUUUGCGCUGAAAAUACUUGCAGGGCAGCCUGCCGGGAAAAUAAGUAAUGCCGACU